UACGGGGGGAGCAAGCGUUGUUCGGAUUUACUGGGCGUAAAGGGCGCGUAGGCGGCGUGACAAGUCACUUGUGAAAUCUCCGGGCUUAACUCGGAACGGUCAAGUGAUACUGUCGUGCUAGAGUACAGAAGGGGCAACUGGAAUUCUCGGUGUAGCGGUGAAAUGCGUAGAUAUCGAGAGGAACACCUGCGGCGAAGGCGGGUUGCUGGGCUGAUACUGACGCUGAGGCGCGAAAGC
rnacentral:rRNA from 1 species